UACAGAGGGGGCAAGCGUUGUUCGGAAUUACUGGGCGUAAAGGGCGCGUAGGCGGCCUGCUAAGUCGAACGUGAAAUCCCCGGGCUCAACCCGGGAACUGCGUCCGAUACUGGCAGGCUUGAAUCCGGGAGAGGGAUGUGGAAUUCCAGGUGUAGCGGUGAAAUGCGUAGAUAUCUGGAGGAACACCGGUGGCGAAGGCGGCAUCCUGGACCGGUAUUGACGCUGAUGCGCAAAAGCCAGGGGAGCAAACGGG
rnacentral:rRNA from 1 species